rnacentral:rRNA from 1 species
GAUGAACGCUGGCGGCGCCUAAUACAUGCAAGUCGAGCGAACGGACGAGAAGCUUGCUUCUCUGAUGUUAGCGGCGGACGGGUGAGUAACACGUGGAUAACCUACCUAUAAGACUGGGAUAACUUCGGGAAACCGGAGCUAAUACCGGAUAAUAUUUUGAACCGCAUGGUUCAAAAGUGAAAGACGGUCUUGCUGUCACUUAUAGAUGGAUCCGCGCUGCAUUAGCUAGUUGGUAAGGUAACGGCUUACCAAGGCAACGAUGCAUAGCCGACCUGAGAGGGUGAUCGGCCACACUGGAACUGAGACACGGUCCAGACUCCUACGGGAGGCAGCAGUAGGGAAUCUUCCGCAAUGGGCGAAAGCCUGACGGAGCAACGCCGCGUGAGUGAUGAAGGUCUUCGGAUCGUAAAACUCUGUUAUUAGGGAAGAACAUAUGUGUAAGUAACUGUGCACAUCUUGACGGUACCUAAUCAGAAAGCCACGGCUAACUACGUG